AGUCGAACGGAAGUCGUUAUGAUGAUUUCAACACUGACAGAGAACUUGUUCAAAGAAAGUAGAGAUUGACUUAUAACAAUGGCUUUAGUGGCGGACUGGUGAGUAACACGUGAGCAACCUGCCUAUCAGAGGGGAAUAACAGUGAGAAAUCAUUGCUAAUACCGCAUAUGCCAUAAAUAUCACAUGAUGAAAGUGGGAAAGGAGUAAUCCGCUGAUAGAUGGGCUCGCGUCUGAUUAGAUAGUUGGUGGGGUAACGGCCUACCAAGUCGACGAUCAGUAGCCGGACUGAGAGGUUGAACGGCCACAUUGGGACUGAGAUACGGCCCAGACUCCUACGGGAGGCAGCAGUCGGGAAUAUUGCGCAAUGGAGGAAACCCUGACGCAGUGACGCCGCGUAUAGGAAGAAGGUUUUCGGAUUGUAAACUAUUGUCGUUAGGGAAGAUACAAGACAGUACCUAAGGAGGAAGCUCCGGCUAACUACGUGCCAGCAGCCGCGGUAAUACGUAGGGAGCAAGCGUUAUCCGGAUUUAUUGGGUGUAAAGGGUGCGUAGACGGGAAAGCAAGUUAGUUGUGAAAUCCCUCGGCUUAACUGAGGAACUGCAACUAAAACUACUUUUCUUGAGUGUUGGAGAGGAAAGUGGAAUUCCUAGUGUAGCGGUGAAAUGCGUAGAUAUUAGGAGGAACACCGGUGGCGAAG
rnacentral:rRNA from 1 species